rnacentral:rRNA from 1 species
CUUGGUCAUUUAGAGGAAGUAAAAGUCGUAACAAGGUUUCCGUAGGUGAACCUGCGGAAGGAUCAUUACAUAUUGAACGCGGCUGGGGUCCCCAAGAACCAUCGUUUGGCCUCUGGCUGGCGUACCUCUUGCCCAGUCUGCGUGAAUAUUUCACCCAUGUCUUUUGCGUACUUCUUGUUUCCUUGGUGGGUUCGCCCACCAAUAGGACAUCCAUUAAACCUUUUGCAAUUGCAGUCAGCGUCAGAAAAACAUAAUUAUUACAACUUUCAACAACGGAUCUCUUGGUUCUGGCAUCGAUGAAGAACGCAGCGAAAUGCGAUAAGUAGUGUGAAUUGCAGAAUUCAGUGAAUCAUCGAAUCUUUGAACGCACAUUGCGCCCUUUGGUAUUCCAAAGGGCAUGCCUGUUCGAGCGUCAUUUGUACCCUCAAGCUCUGCUUGGUGUUGGGCGUCUUUGUCUUCCCAGAAGACUCGCCUUAAAGUCAUUGGCAGCCGGCCUACUGGUUUCGGAGCGCAGCACAAGUCGCGCUCUCUUCCAGCCAAGGUCAGCGUCCACAAAGCCUUUUUUUCAACUUUUGACCUCGGAUCAGGUAGGGAUACCCGCUGAACUUAAGCAUAUCAAUAAGCGGAGGA